AAUCUCACAUCCUGUUCCUCUCUCAGCUACAGGUUACCCAGCACGUUUUUUUUCUUAACUAUGUUAUCCUAGAGGUGCUACCACAGUCACUGACAGGCUCAACCUUGGGUAUGAUGGGUCCAUCUUGGAGCUGGCUGGCAUGGCUCUAUUGGACACAGGGGAAACUUCUAGCAGCUUCUCACAGAACCCACCCCUGUGGCCCUCUGCUACCAAAACGUUGCCAUGCAAACCCAGUACAUCAGGAGAGUUUAAAAGGCUGCAACCUGCUUAAGGCAUUUGGUUACUGGGUUAUCUUGUCCUCUGGUCCAUGUUGCUAACAGUUUCCAUCUGAAAUGUCACGGGUAGCUCAUACCUGAGGCUGGACAAACGCGCGGCUGCACAGAGUGUCUUGGAGAACAGCAGGCUAGAAGUAGCUCCGUACAAGGUGGUAGUGGGUUCUUGAGCCCAAUAAUGGAGAAGACUGAAAAAAGAAGAAUCAGAGAGACAGUGAGAAGAGGACAGCAUGCACAAGCUGGAGGAAAGCUGGCAGCUGAACAUCUCAACUGGUGUGCAGCUGGUCUUGCUGCAGUGGCUUGUAAUCAUCUCCUUAGGUCCCUCUUGCCUCUGGGUGCCUACGGAGUGAUAUCUGGAGCCACCAUGCGGGUGCCAGUACUGUGCUGGGCAUGGCUGGUUGCAUCUUGGGGAGCCUGGACACUAGACAGUGCAUGUUCAUGCCAGUCCAUUACCCUGAUGAUGCACCUGCACCUUUCCAGCCUCAACGCUUUCCACUGUGUGCUGCAGGCAAGCACUGUGGUUUCAUCACUUCUUGAUCUUGGAUGUCAUGUCUCGGAGCAGAAGCCUGUGGGUUCCUCCCCAGCUACUCAGCGGUAACGAUUGUGGUGCAAAAAAAAUCACAGAAUCAUCUAGGUUGGAAAAUACCUUGAAGAUCAUCCAGUCCAACCAUUAACCUAACA